rnacentral:rRNA from 1 species
UACGAGGGGGGCAAGUGUUGUUCGGAAUCACUGGGCGUAAAGGGAGCGUAGGUGGAUGUUUAAGUCGGGAGUUUAAAACCGGGGCCCAACCCCGGAGCGGCUCCCGAAACUGGGCAUCUUGAAUAGGUCAGAGGCUGGUGGAAUUGGAGGUGUAGCGGUGGAAUGCGUAGAGAUCUCCAAGAACACCUAUUGCGAAGGCAGCCAGCUGGGACCAUAUUGACGCUGAGGCUCGAAAGCAUGGGGAGCAAACAGG